UGACGAGGAUGAGAACCUCCGGGGGCAAGAGGUUCGACCCGAGCGCAGCGAGAGAACGUUGCUUCAGCAACGGCCCGCAGGGCGAGCCACGCAGUGGCGAGUCAUCCUCUAUCACCGACCA
rnacentral:sRNA from 1 species